UACGAAGGGGGCUAGCGUUGUUCGGAAUUACUGGGCGUAAAGAGCGCGUAGGUGGCUAGAUAAGUCCGGUGUGAAAUCCUUCGGCUUAACCGGGGAAUGGCAUCGGGGACUGUAUAGCUAGAGGACGGAAGAGGAGAGCGGAAUUCCCGGUCGUAGCGGUGAAAUGCGUAGAGAUCGGGAGGAAGGCCGGUGGCGAAGGCGGCUCUCUGGGGACGUCCCUGACACUGAGGCGCGAAAGCGUGGGGAGCAAACAGG
rnacentral:rRNA from 1 species